UUCUCACCGCCCACCACCUCCCGUUUCUCCUCCCACUCCAUGGACUGCCUGUAUAAAUAUGUGUCCUCUCGUGUUUUUUUUUCUUGUGAAGAACAUUUCCUAUCACACCAAGUCUCCUGCAGUCUUUCUCGCUUUUACAAACAGAUAGAAACCAGAGAUGCCUGAGUCUGCAGACAUUCCUGCUCAGUGCCAAGUCCUCAAAGAAGACGUGGACAAAUGUGUCCAAGGGAAGGGUGCCGAGGCCUGUAAGGAGCUGAUGGAAGCUUUCGAGGCCUGUGUGAAAAGCGCUGUGCAAACUUCAUGAGCAGAAAGCUUCAGGUUCAUAUCUAAGGUUCUCCUUCUUCGGGUCCUUCAGUACACCUGCAUUCCUACUGUUUUUUGGGUUUGACUGAACCAUUACAUCGACUGGCCAGGGGUGUCGGUACUGCUGAAUUCCUGGAUUUGCCAUGUCUGGAUCAGAGAUGCUGCUGAUAUUAUUGUCAUAUGUCCAACGCAAAUGUAGCAUCAAGAGCCCACAGGAUUUAGAUCCAUUAUGUCAGAAGAAGUAUUUCUUUAUCUAAGAAAAAUGCAGUCAAUAUAAAUUAUUUUUGAAUAAAAUAUACUUUAAUUAU